UACGUAGGGGGCAAGCGUUGUCCGGAUUUAUUGGGCGUAAAGAGCGUGUAGGCGGUUCGGUAGGUCCGUUGUGAAAACUCGAGGCUCAACCUCGAGACGCCGAUGGAAACCAGCGAACUAGAGUCCGGAAGAGGAGAGUGGAAUUCCUGGUGUAGCGGUGAAAUGCGCAGAUAUCAGGAAGAACACCCGUGGCUAAGGCGGCUCUCUAGUACGGUACUGACGCUGAGACGCGAAAGCGUGGGGAGCGAACAGG
rnacentral:rRNA from 1 species